UACGGAGGGUGCAAACGUUGCUCGGAAUCAUUGGGCGUAAAGCGCGCGUAGGCGGCGAGGCAAGUUGGAUGUGAAAUCCCUGGGCUCAACCUAGGAUGUGCAUACAAAACUGCCUUGCUUGAAUCUCGGAGGGGGUCAGGGAAUUCCCGGUGUAGAGGUGAAAUUCGUAGAUAUCGGGAGGAACACCAGUGGCGAAGGCGACUUCCUGGCCUGUUCUUGACGCUGAGGCGCGAAAGCUAGGGUAGCAAACGGG
rnacentral:rRNA from 1 species